CAGCCACUCCCAUCAACAGCCAACAAGAAGGCAGAAGCCCUAAUCUCUCUAGUCUCUCCCGUCAUUUUCUCUCAAAACCCAACAUCGAAUGUCCGCACUCCAGUCGAUGGUAGUCUAGUUGAGUAUGUAUAUUUCGUUAUUUUUCUAUUCAUAUUUUCUUAUUUCCUUAUUAUUAUUAUUAUUAGAAAUGCAGAAACUGCAAUCUUCAAUAAACUUCAGAAAUUAAGAAUUGCUUGGACAUUCUCAAUUGUGGGUGUGUUUUGAUCGACUAAAAGGUAAAUCUAUCUUUGCAUUCGCAAGUCCCUUGUAGAGAAUAGGUGUCAUGUCGAAUCUGAUUAGAUAAUUUCUGGUUUACAAAUUUAAGGGGAUGUCAUGACUUAAUAUGGAUUUAGGCUCGUGAAUUUUAGAGGCCUUUUGAUUUUCUUGAGGUUGUCAGUAGUUGAUUCCUGGAGGCUAGUACUAGAGAUGAAGUUUGGUUUCAUUAUAAUUUGAGAUCCUUAGAUUUUAGGACAGUGGGAAAGAGAAGUCUGGAAUGGGAUCCAAUUAUUGGAAAUGGGAUGGGGAUCUUUUUGAUUUAUGUGCUAGUUAAACUAAUAACUAGUCACUUUGUUUCAACUUGCAUUAUGUGCUUAAUUACAGUUGACAUGUACCUAGAAUUUUAGGUGGCCUGAAUUUGCAAAAUUGUUGUAUUGCAGCCACAUAUGUUGUAUUUAGAAAAUGGACACAGUCACAGGUGCUGUAUUCUUAUCUUGUUGUAUUGCAUUGCUAUUUUUAAUAAAAUAAAUCUAUUUGGUUAUUUUGUAAUUUUGUUGGAAUAUGUUUGUAGGUAUGGAUGAAUGUAAAUUACAUGGCAUAGAAACUCCAUCAAAUGACACAAAUUUGCAAGUAAAUCUUCCUCCAUUUGCACCGUCAACAUUAGGUAAACAAAAAUCUAAUAAUUAGAUUCAUAUGUUUGGGAUCACUUACGGUUUUGGGAUCAAGGGAUGAUCCAGAUGUUAGGUGUAAAUGUAACUACUGUGGGGGUAGAUUAUGCUUGUGACACUAAGGAGUGUGGUACUAGCACAUUGGGCAAUCAUUUGACAAAUCAAUGUAAGAAGUAUUCUGGUAGAUUGGUUGAUAAGAAGCAAAAAAUACUUUCUUUUAAGAACAAAAAAGAGGGUGGUGGGAGCAAUCUUGUUGUUGUUGGUCGAAGUAAAGAACAGUGUAGAGUUGCAUGUGUUAAGAUGGUUGUGUUGGAUGAAUUACCUUUUAGGUUUGUUGAAGGUCAGGGUUUUAGGUUCUUUUGUACUGUAGUCCGUCCUCAAUUUCGGGCUCCAUCUUGAAGGACUCUCGUUAAAGACAACUAUCAAUUGUAUUUAGAUGAAAAAUUGAAAUUGAGAGAUGUUUUUUUUUUCACCGUCAAAGGGUUUCUCUCACAACCGAUACUUGGACUUCCAUUCAAAAUGUUAAUUACAUGUUUCUUGCAACACAUUUUAUUGAUUCUAAUUGGACGCUUAAUAAGUGUAUUUUGAGUUUUUGUACCAUUCCAAAUCACAAGGGAGAAACGAUUAGGAAAAUGAUUGAGACUUGUUUACAAGAUUGGGGAAUUGAGAAAGUUUUUACAAUCACCAUUGAUAAUGCAAGCUCUAAUGAUGUGGCUAGCGCUUAUCUUAGGAGGACGUUGAUUGCUUGGGUAGUAAUUGAUGUAUUCUAGAUGGGAGAUAUUUGCAACUCGGGUGCUGUGCACAUAUUAUAAAUUUGAUUGUUUGUGAAGGGUUAAGGGAAGUACAUGACUCCAUUGUGAAUAUCAAAUAUGCAAUCAAAUAUGGGAAAUAUCUUCCUGCUACGUAUGAAAAACUGAAGGAGUGUGCAAGAAAAGAGAAGAUUGAUUGCAAAUCUAUUGUAUUUUUGGAUCUUCCAACUAGGUGGAAUUCUAUUUAUUUGAUGUUGGAAACGGCAUUGAAAUUUGAGAAAGCUUUCGAUAGGUUAGAAGAAGAGGAUGAUCAACAUUUGCAGUACUUUCGAGAAGACGAUUGUGGUGGAAAGAGAGGUGGACCUCCUUCAAAUUUAGAUUGGGAAAAUGGAUCUGUGUUUGUCAAGUUUCUGAAAAAAACUUUGAUGUGACUUUGACUUUUAGUUCUUCAUUGCGUGUUAGUGCUUGUGCUUAUUUUCAUGAAAUUUGUAAUCUUAUAAUUGAAUUGGAUGAAUGAAGAUUAAGUGGUAAAUUUUUUAUUGUGUAAAAUGGCAACUAACAUGAAGAAGAAGUUUGAAAAGUAUUGGGGUAAAAUGGAAAAUGUGAAUCAGUUGUUGCUCAUUGUUAUCAUCAUUGAUCCAAGAUAUAAAAUGAAUUAUGUUGAAAACUGUUUUAGUGAUCUAUACAUGGAUAGGGAAGUUGUUAGUAACAUGAUGAAAUCUUUGAAAGACAAUUUAAUGGAUAUUUAUGAGUGGUAUGUGGCUUGUGAAAGUGUUCGUGGAAGUAUUCAAGUAUCAACUGAUGAGUCUUUGAGUUUUUUAAGUACAAAUAAAGACAGUGCUUCUUCUAUGAGUGAUACUAGUCUUUCUAGAUUUUUGAAAAAACAAGCUAUAAAAGAUUGUGCUGAAAUAAAAAAUGAUGUGGAA
rnacentral:lncRNA from 1 species